rnacentral:rRNA from 1 species
ACGCUCGACACCUACGGAGGCAGCAGUGGGGAAUAUUGCACAAUGGGGGAAACCCUGAUGCAGCAACGCCGCGUGAAGGAAGACGGUUUUCGGAUUGUAAACUUCUGUUCUUAGUGAAAAUAGUGACGGUAGCUAAGGAGCAAGCCACGGCUAACUACGUGCCCGCAGCCGCGGUAAUCUGAGCGGGCUGGCAAGGC